rnacentral:rRNA from 1 species
UACAGAGGGUGCAAGCGUUAAUCGGAAUUACUGGGCGUAAAGCGUGCGUAGACGGUUACGUAAGUUAGGUGUGAAAGCCCCGGGCUCAACCUGGGAAUUGCAUUUAGGACUGCGUAGCUAGGGUGCGGAAGAGGGAAGCGGAAUUUCCGGUGUAGCGGUGAAAUGCGUAGAUAUCGGAAGGAACAUCAGUGGCGAAAGCGGCUUCCUGGUCCAGCACCGACGUUCAGGCACGAAAGCGUGGGGAGCAAACAGG